ACAACAUUUGGACCGUCGGUCUACCGAGCAAAUCAUCCGCUCGGUGGAAGAUCUUCCCUUUGUGUU
rnacentral:pre_miRNA from 1 species